GGGUGCGAUCAUACCAGCACUAAUGCACCGGAUCCCAUCAGAACUCCGAAGUUAAACGUGCUUGGGCGAGAGUAGUACUAAGAUGGGUGACCUUUUGGGAAGUCCUUGUGUUGCACCCC
rnacentral:rRNA from 1 species